CAUUCAGCCAUAUAUGAAGGAUGGGUGGUUCGCUGGUGUCAUUUGAUGUAUGUGUCACGUUGCUUCUUACACACGUGUUGCUUCCCCUAAUUUCCAGCCUCCUAACUGUAUCAAUCACUCACUGAUGGAGAGAGUCCUGGAAGAGAGAGAGGGGUUCUGCUAGACAGAGAGAGAUCAGAGAAGAUAUGCGACACAGUAGACAGAGAAGCAGGGUGGGGUGCUUCCACGUCUCCGGCGGCAGAGACGGUGGUUAAACCGUCGGAAUGGGUGAGAACCCGGUGCCAGGUUCUCUGGCGGUGAGAGACCUGGGAUUUCUAGGGUUCCGACGAGGUCCGGUGAGAACCUGGUGACCUGAACCAGGUAUGCAUGUACCCUUUAUAGUCAGAUCGGGUCAUGGUUGUGGUUUACAACGGUGGUGGUGGUAGGGACGUGGUGGAAACCGGUCACGGAUAGGGUAGAGAGAUACGUCUGGAGAGGAGAGAAAUAGAGUAGAGAGAGGCGACUGUUAGGGCAAGGGUUUCACCGUCAAAGAAGUAGGGCCAUCUGACGGAGAUCGCCAGUAGGAGCUGAAGUCGAAGGAGAAAGCAACGGUGAAGGUGGCGCUGUAGGUUUAAGAGAUAAAACAUCCGAUGCCUGCACAAAAGCCGGUGAAAAUGAGGGUGCUGAAGCAGGAGAUUUACCGAAUUAGAUCCGUACAUCGGCGGCCUUAAACGCUCCAACCGGAGGUGCAAACACCGUGAAUCCUUUCCCCGUUGCUUUCUGACUAUUGUGGAAAGUGAAGUAUGUACAAAUGGAGCCUGAAAUUCCACCUUAAUCUCGCAUUCAGGGAGACCCCUAUAGAAGUCAGAAUAUGAAGAAGCUGGGUUCACACUUUUAGACAGUACGAAACUUGGUUUUCAUUACUCACCAGUGAUAUAAGUGGCGUCUUCCAAAGAUCCAUGCUCCAGAGAAAAAAUUACAGUAUUGGGACCAGAUGUGAUAGCUUACAGUCUCUUUUGACGAAGCUUUCUGCUAGCCUUUGCUUAACAAUUGGUACUUCAAGUGAACUGAUUCUGUGUGUGUUGUUUUUGUGCUUACAAAUGAUUCUUUUUAAUACUUUCUGGGUAGACUUUUGAGAACCUGUUUAAAUCUGAUUGUCUACUUAAUGAAGUCUGUGGCUCGAGGCCGAGAGGUAGUUCGAUCAGGCUAUCAUAUUUGUAUAGUUAUUCUUUAUCUUACGGUUGA